rnacentral:lncRNA from 1 species
AAAGGAAGGAGGAAGUAACUUGUGGAAUGCUGAGAAAGAUUUGCUCUUCUGCCAUCACUGUGAGAGUAUUCCUGAGCCAGCCAGCUGGAGGGAAAAACAGGAGGAGCAGGGCUGAGUCGCACCAGUCAUAUACGUGUGGCCAUCUUGUAUCAUCUUUAAUGCUAUUUCAUCUAAGUCUGAAAGUGGAGAAGUCUUGAGAAAAGGCUGAGUGUUGCAGAGUCCUAACUGAGGGCAGUUGGCUUCCCCAAGAAAGUGAGACACCUUGGAAAGGCUGACUCUGACCUGCAGUGACCAUAUAUCAGUUCCAUAUGACAGAAUGUCUCCUUCCAAUGGAUGUUGAUCACCUUGUCACCUGUUGCCUAAAUGACCUUGUCUAUUGUCCAUUAUUUUGAUGUAUCCAGAGGGGCAACAAAUCACUCUCCUAGCUGCACAAUCAUUCUCCUGGUAAAUGUAUUAGGCUUACCAAAGAAACGUACAAAAUCCCAUCUGAGAAUGGUCAGUUUUCCAAGCUGAACUACAUCAUGAAGUAAACCUCAAGAUCAAGAAAGUGA